UACGAAGGGGGCUAGCGUUGUUCGGAAUUACUGGGCGUAAAGGGUUCGUAGGUGGCCACUUAAGUCAGACGUGAAAUCCCUCAGCUUAACUGGGGAACUGCGUCUGAUACUGAGUGGCUUGAGUGCAGGAGAGGAAUGCGGAAUUCCAGGUGUAGCGGUGAAAUGCGUAGAUAUCUGGAGGAACACCGGUGGCGAAGGCGGCAUUCUGGACUGUAACUGACACUGAGGAACGAAAGCCAGGGGAGCAAACGGG
rnacentral:rRNA from 1 species